rnacentral:rRNA from 1 species
GACGAACGCUGGCGGCGUGCUUAACGCAUGCAAGUCGAGCGGUAAGGCCCUUUCAGGGGUACACGAGCGGCGAACGGGUGAGUAACACGUGGGUGACCUGCCCUCAGCUCUGGGAUAAGCCUGGGAAACUGGGUCUAAUACUGGAUAUGACUCCACGGUGCAUGUCGUGGGGUGGAAAGCCUUGUGCGGCUGAGGAUGGGCCCGCGGCCUAUCAGCUUGNGGUGGGGUGAUGGCCUACCAAGGCGACGACGGGUAGCCGGCCUGAGAGGGCGACCGGCCACACUGGGACUGAGACACGGCCCAGACUCCUACGGGAGGCAGCAGUGGGGAAUCUUGCGCAAUGGGCGAAAGCCUGACGCAGCGACGCCGCGUGAGGGAUGACGGC